GUUUGUGCAGAUAUCGUGCCGAGGGCCGAGACAGAAGAAGAGCUCAGUGUGACCGCUGUCGUUUCGUCUCAGCUCGACCAGCUCUCGUGUGCGCUGAUAGCAGAGAUGAGCGGCCAGCCGGUCCCGUCCGUCUCUGUCCAGGUGAGGAUAAAGAGCCGUUCUGCUGUGGCGAGCCCGAAGAUGACGGUGUGUGUUCAGCCUCCUCUGGCUGUCACACAGGACCAGUUCGUGUUGGACUC